ACCGACGCACUUAGCACAAAAAAAAAAAAUCCAUCUUUACCCAUGGAGGGCUCUGCGCAGACUGAGCUCUGCAGAGCGGGGGAAAGCUUUAAAAAGCCUUGACCCACCCUGCAAUUAGGCUCAGAGUACUCUGAUUGGUGGAUUUAAGCCAUCCAGAGUGCUCUGACAGGUAAAUGAAGAGACUGACAGGUAAGUCUCUACAUUUACCUGUCACAGCACUCUGAUUGGUU